rnacentral:rRNA from 1 species
UACAGAGGUCUCAAGCGUUGUUCGGAUUCAUUGGGCUUAAAGGGCGCGUAGGCGGGCGGUCAAGUCUGUGGUGAAAUCCUUCGGCUCAACCGGAGAAUAGCUGGAGAUACUGGCCGUCUCGAGGGGGGUAGGGGCAUGUGGAACUUCCGGUGGAGCGGUGAAAUGCGUAGAUAUCGGAAGGAACGCCGGUGGCGAAAGCGACGUGCUGGACCCUUUCUGACGCUGAGGCGCGAAAGCCAGGGGAGCAAACGGG